rnacentral:rRNA from 1 species
AUUGAACGCUGGCGGCAGGCCUAACACAUGCAAGUCGAACGAGAGGCGGACGGGUGAGCAAGGUCUGGGAAACUGCCCGAUGGAGGGGGCUGACUAAUGGAAAAGGUGGCUAAUAGCGCAUACCAGCGGAUCGGCCCAUAUGGGAGUAGCUAGUUGGUGGGGUAAAGGGUCACCAAGGCGACGAUCCCUAGCUGGUCUGAGAGGAUGACCAGCCACACUGGAACUGAGACACGGUCCAGACUCCUACGGGAGGCAGCAGUGGGGAAUAUUGCACAAUGGGCGCAAGCCUGAUGCAGCCAUGCCGCGUGUGUGAAGAAGGUCUUCGGGUUGUAAAGUACUGUCGGCAGGGAGGCGUUACCCGCAGAAGAAGCACCGGCUAACUCCGUGCCAGCAGCCGCGGUAAUAC